UCCGGUUUGUCACCGGCAGUCUCCUAUGAGUCCCCGACAUUACUCGCUGGCAACUAGGGACAAGGGUUGCGCUCGUUGCGGGACUUAACCCAACAUGUCACCACACGAGCUGACGACAGCCAUGCAGCACCUGAACCAGCGGUCCCCGAAGGGAAAAUCCUAUUUCUAGGACGAUCCACUGUUGUCUAGUCCAGGUAAGGUUCUUCGCGUUGCGUCGAAUUGAACCACAUGCUCCACCGCUUGUGCGGGCCCCCGUCAAUUCCUUUGAGUUUUAGCCUUGCGGCCGUACUCCCCAGGCGGGGCACUUAAUGCGUUAGCUGCGGCACGGACCCCGUUGGUUAGGGCCCACACCUAGUGCCCAACGUUUACGGCGUGGACUAC
rnacentral:misc_RNA from 1 species